rnacentral:lncRNA from 1 species
UUCACUUUAUUUCCUCAAAGGCCCCGAGGGGGGGGGGGCAUUACAUAGGGGUGGGUGUAAAGUAAGGUUGCAUGAUACAUGACCAUUGAGGAUGAGAAGUGCAAUUUUACAGCAUCAAUGAAAACAUCUGGUGUCUCGGGAUUCG